UACGAAGGGGGCGAGCGUUGCUCGGAAUCACUGGGCGUAAAGCGCGCGUAGGCGGGUUCUUAAGGCAGGGGUGAAAUCCUGGGGCUCAACCCGAGAACGGCGCUUGAGACUGAGGAGCUUGAGUCCGGGAGAGGUGAGUGGAACUCCGGGUGUAGAGGUGAAAUUCGUAGAUAUGCGGAAGAACACCAGUGGCGAAGGCGGCUCGCUGGCCCGGGACUGGCGCUGAGGUGGGAAAGCGUGGGGAGCAAACAGG
rnacentral:rRNA from 1 species